GGGUUGUGAGGUUAAGCGACUAAGCGUACACGGUGGAUGCCCUGGCAGUCAGAGGCGAUGAAGGGCGUGCUAAUCUGCGAUAAGCG
rnacentral:rRNA from 3 species